rnacentral:rRNA from 14 species
UGCUGCUGCUCUGCCUACAGGAUUGCAGAUUAUGCCAGAAAGUGGCAGAGUAGUAGAUAAGCAGAAGCUAAGCAGGGUCAGGACCAGUUAGUACUUGGAUGGGAGACUGCCUGGAAUCAUGGGUGCUGCAGGCU